UUAAAAACCAUUUUAUUAUUAAUAUUUAUUUAAUUAAGCGCCCUGAUUUUAAUUGCAAAACAUUUCGUUAUUUUAAUCACAUUUUUUAAAUUUGAUUUCAGUUUUUCUUCAUUUGAUGUGGCAAUUAAACAGAAAAUAAAAAAAACAUAUUUUGUUUAAUUUUAAUGGAAAUUUUCGUCGUAUAAUAUAUCGCAUACCAUUUUCCAAACCAAAAAUAUGUUAUCUUUAAAAUCAUUAAAUUAUUUGUUUAAAUUAAUUUGCUCUUGAUGAAGAUACUUUUUGAGACAUACUGUACGUGCUGCGUAGCCAUUCAUAAUGUCAAAAAGUUCGUCAAGCUUCGUGUGUGGUGAAAGGCGACAAGAAAAGCAAGCAGCCUCAAAUUUAACAGCUUGUAAUUUGUGUAUUAUCAAGCUUAUACAACAGCAUUUAAACUCGGUGGUAGAGUUCCGCCCGCUCCAUCAAAUGUAGAGAAUGACGCUGUCCAAUAUUGUUCCUGCCUCGCGGUCGUGCACUACCGUCAGCACUGCAAUAGCCGCAGCAAAACAUGCGCCCCAUGUCCCACAUUUCCAUCAUCUCGACGGUGCUCAACAGCUGUACGCCUGCCGCCUACAGCCACCGGGAUAGCCUCGCUCUCUAGUGCGAUACUGAUGAACCUGCGGCGCAAGAGCACGUAAGCGUUUGGUGGCGGCGGCUGUGGAAUGAUGGUGCACCUCGGUAAAUAUGGUGCACGAGAAGAAUUCUUCCCGCAAAAGGCAUCCGUUUGGGCACUGAAAUCGAACGACGUCUACGGAGACAGUAACAACAACAACCAUCCGGACAGGAGGUGGAUGUCAGUCGGUUGUAUAAAAACAGCAUCAAGGUGCGCGAAACACGGGCCGUCCAGUACGACACAGGCCUUAUCGGCAGCCUGGAGGCCUUAUCGGAGUCCCGCCUUAUGUCCCGCCGUAGGAUCCAACCAAUAUGAUGGAUAUUUUUAUAACAAAUACAAAUUUCAUUAAUUUAUUUCAUGAAAUAAUGAAAAA